rnacentral:tRNA from 1 species
AGCUAAUAAGUUUUAGAUAAACAUAUACUUUGAAAGUAUAGAAAGGCAGUUAAAUUCUCCCAUUAGCUU